rnacentral:rRNA from 1 species
GAUGAACGCUGGCGGCGUGCCUAAUACAUGCAAGUCGAGCGAACAGACGAGGAGCUUGCUCCUCUGACGUUAGCGGCGGACGGGUGAGUAACACGUGGAUAACCUACCUAUAAGACUGGGAUAACUUCGGGAAACCGGAGCUAAUACCGGAUAAUAUAUUGAACCGCAUGGUUCAAUAGUGAAAGACGGUUUUGCUGUCACUUAUAGAUGGAUCCGCGUCGCAUUAGCUAGUUGGUAAGGUAACGGCUUACCAAGGCAACGAUGCGUAGCCGACCGGAGAGGGUGAUCGGCCACACUGGAACUGAGACACGGUCCAGACUCCUACGGGAGGCAGCAGUAGGGAAUCUUCCGCAAUGGGCGAAAUCCUGACGGAGCAACGCCGCGUGAGUGAUGAAGGUCUUCGGAUCGUAAAACUCUGUUAUUAGGGAAGAACAAAUGUGUAAGUAACUAUGCACGUCUUGACGGUACCUAAUCAGAAAGCCACGGCUAACUACGUG